rnacentral:rRNA from 1 species
AUUGAACGCUGGCGGAAUGCUUUACACAUGCAAGUCGAACGGCAGCACGGACUUCGGUCUGGUGGCGAGUGGCGAACGGGUGAGUAAUGUAUCGGAACGUAUCCAAUAAUGGGGGAUAACUAAUCGAAAGGUUGGCUAAUACCGCAUACGCCCUACGGGGGAAAGCAGGGGAUCUUCGGACCUUGCGUUAAUGGAGCGGCCGAUAUCUGAUUAGCUAGUUGGUGAGGUAAAGGCUCACCAAGGCGACGAUCAGUAGCUGGUCUGAGAGGACGACCAGCCACACUGGAACUGAGACACGGUCCAGACUCCUACGGGAGGCAGCAGUGGGGAAUUUUGGACAAUGGGCGCAAGCCUGAUCCAGCCAUGCCGCGCGCGGGAAGAAGGCCUUCGGGUUGUAAAGCUCUUUCGGCCGGGAAGAAAUCGCAUGGGUUAAUACCCUGUGUGGAUGGCGGUACCGGAAUAAGAAGCACCGGCUAACUACGUGCCAGCAGCCGCAGUAACAC